rnacentral:rRNA from 1 species
CCUACGGGAGGCAGCAGUGAGGAAUAUUGGUCAAUGGACGAGAGUCUGAACCAGCCAAGUAGCGUGAAGGCUGACUGCCCUAUGGGUUUUACACUUCUUUUAUAUGGGAAUCCAACAGGGUAUGCAUACCCUCUUGUAUGUACCAUAUGAAUCAUGAUCUGCUAACUCCUUGCCAUCAGCCGCGGUAAUACGGAGGAUCCGAGCGUUAUCCUGAUUUAUUGGUCUUCCAGGGAGCGUAGGUGGAUUGUUAAGUCAGUUGUGAAAGUUUGCGGCUCAACCGUAAAAUUGCAGUUGAAACUGGCAGUCGUGAGUACAGGAGAUGUGGGAGGAAGUCGUGGUGUAGCGGUGAAAUGCUUAGAUAUCACGAAGAACCCCGAUUGCGAAGGCAGCUUACUAAACUGUGACUGACAUUGAUGCUCGAAAGUGUGGGUAUCAAACAGGAUUAGAUACCCGGGGAGUC